rnacentral:rRNA from 1 species
AGAGUUUGAUUAUGGUAAUAGCGCUCAAGAUGAACGGACUCUUAAGAGUUAGUGGCGGACGGGUGAGUAACACGUUAGUACCUGCCCUUCAGUGGGGAAUAACUCGGCGAAAGUCGAGCUAAUACCGCAUAGGCUCGUUCGAGUAAAGACUUCGGUCGCUGAAGGAGGGGCUUGCGUCUGAUUAGCUAGUUGGUGGGGUAAAGGCCCACCAAGGCGACGAUCAGUAGCUGGUUCGAGAGGAUGACCAGCCACACUGGGACUGAGAUACGGCCCAGACUCCUACGGGAGGCAGCAGUGAGGAAUCUUCCGCAAUGGGCGAAAGCCUGACGGAGCAAUGCCGCGUGCAGGAUGACGGCCUUCGGGUUGUAAACUGCUUUUAUAUGGGAAGAUUAUGACGGUACCAUAUGAAUAAGGACCGGCUAACUACGUGCCAGCAGCCGCGGUAAUACGUAGGGUCCAAGCGUUAUCCGGAAUCACUGGGCGUAAAGCGUGCGUAGGCGGAUGUUUAAGUGUAAUGCGAAAUCCUGUGGCUCAACCAUAUGGCUGUAUUGCAUACUGGAUAUCUUGAGGAAUGCAGAGGCAAGUGGAAUUACCGGUGUAGCAGUGAAAUGCGUAGAGAUCGGUAGGAACACCAAUGGCGAAGGCAGCUUGCUGGGCAUUAUCUGACGCUAAGGCACGAAAGCGUGGGGAGCGAACAGGAUUAGAUACCCUGGUAGUCCACGCCGUAAACGAUGCAUAUUAUUAGCAUGGAGAUCGACCUCUGUGCUGAAAAGCUAACGCGAUAAAUAUGCCGCCUGGGGAGUACGGCCGCAAGGCUAAAACUCAAAGGAAUUGACGGGGCUCCGCACAAGCAGUGGAGGAUGUGGUUUAAUCCGAAGCUACGCGCAGAACCUUACCAAGGCUUGAAAUCCCUGUACUCCUAGGAAACUAGGAGGUCAGUUCGGCUGGAUAGGUGACAGAUGCUGCAUGGCCGUCGUCAGCUCGUGUCGUGAGAUGUUGGGUUAAGUCCCGCAACGAGCGCAACCCUUGUCGUGUGUUGUAUUUUUCACGCGAGACCGCCCGGGCCAACCGGGAGGAAGGUGGGGAUGACGUCAGGUCGGCAUGGCUCUUACGCCUUGGGCCACACACGUCCUACAAUGGCUGGUACAACGGGUCGGGAAACCGCGAGGGGGAGGUAAUUCCUCAAAACCAGUUUCAGUUUGGGAUGCAGGGUGGAAAUUGCCUGCCAGGAGGCGGAAAUGGUUGGUACCGUAAGUUAGCCUUAUUCGGGGGAAUAGGUUCCGGAGCUGCCAUUCACCCCUUCC